CCCCGGCACGGCGCACCACGCUCUCCUGGCGACCCCCUUCAACUUACGGCGCACCAGCUCACAGAGCUGAGCUGUAUCUUAUCUCGCCAGAUAGUGUCCCAACGCCAAGUCUGUUGCAGUCUUACUUCUUCGCUUGUCAGUUCGGAGAUGGCACUGAUGAAGGCAGGACGUCGAAUUUGGAUCAGCCACUGGUAACAGACUAGAAAUAGCCACCCUACUUACUCUGGAAGAGAGAAAGAAGAUAGCAGCUUGGGUGGAAGUGUUUUUGCCACCCUUAAUAUUAAGAAGAAAAAUUUCAGCAAUGGUUUUGUGAGGAUCUUCCAAGCUGCUUAACUAUCCGUCGCCUGCAUGAGAAAUUUGCGCGCACCGUGCCUAUGACCAAUGACUAAAGGAACAAUGAGCAUCCAAAAACUAUUCGAAUUGAAGAUGACAUCAUAGAUGUUCAGGGCACAGUAUUUAGGAUACCAAGAAAGUCAAGUACGGGAUUAGAAUUGGAAACCGGAAUCGCGUGGACAAGUGUAUCAUUCUCCACUUCAGUCUAGGAAUGAAGCCGUACCACAUUCAAACGAUACAGGCCCUAGCCGACGCUGAUAAAAUUUCUUGUGUACGAGAUGAACCAGUGUUAUUAGAAAGGACGAAGGUAUCUGUCAUCUGGGGGUAUAGACAAUUCCAAUGAACUAAGACAGCUCACUUGAUCCUUUUCGAAAGUUAACGUAUAAUGCGGCGACUCGAAGUUCAGAGGACUUGAUCUACACUUUUUUUAAUGAUUGGACUGUAACGGGAGAGUGUUAAAUAGAUUUUUUUUCCAGAAUUUUGCUGCUGAUAAUCUUCUCCACCGUACCGUACCGUACAUCAGGUUAUUUCCAACAAGAUGGUGCACCACCGCAUUACUCCUUAAAGGUUCAACAUUAGCUCGAUGAUACAUUUGGAAGACGCUGGCCUGGAAGAGGUGGGCCUUCGGCAUGGCCAACACGAUUAACCCAUUUACUCCUUGCGGUCUCUGGCUAUGGAGAAUGGUGAAAGAACGCGAGUAUGCUGUAAGACCUACUGACAUUGAUCUUAAAGAACGCACACCCCAAGUCCGUUUUAUACCUGUGGGAAUGUGUGAACGAACUAUGGCGUUUACUGUGAAGAGACUUUGCACAUGCACUGAAAACCAAGGAGUACAGGUCUAAGAAGUGCACUGGCCUCAUUUGGACUUGGACAUUGAAAAUUAGGCCACAAAAAGUGAAAGUAUCGUGCAUAUAUGGUACAAUACUUUAUCAUGCACCUCAAACCAGUCAGCAACAUCCGCGGUCAGCGUAAGUCCAUCAUUCGCGUUGCCUGGAUAUGUUGGCAAAACAGGCUUUUGCAAGAUGGUCAGUGGAGUUUCCCCCCACAACUGCAUGAUUGGUCGGUCACAUUGUUUCACUUUAAGUUCCUCGCAUACACUAUAGUUUGUGCGGAUUCUAUUUGCUCGCUUCCACGUAUGUCGAGGCAUAUGGAAGUCAAUUGGUUUAGUGUGGAUGUUUAGGUCAGUUUGUACUUCUGAUGCUGUUUGCUGUAUCCAUAUCUGAACCCGUUACCAUCAAAUCCUUCAUCAAGUUUUUCCUAUAGCAAUUUUUAUUUCCAGUUGUCUGGAUCUUGACCUGUCAGCUAUAGUCAUGACUGGGAAGCUCACGGGUAUCAAGAAGCGUCUUUGUCCUCUGAGUUCUGUUGAAGAAAUAUGAUUUAGUGUUGGGAGCAAAUAAGUUGUAAUUUUUUGACAGCCUGUGAUAGUAUGCAUUGUUGUAUUGCGAAUGCUGUGCGACUGGUUGGUAUGGUUGCUGCUUAGCCACAAACGAGUACAAUAUUCUCCAUUUCUGUACACUAACCCUAGCACAGAGUUGCAGAGAGUUGAAGCUGUUCAUCCUCAAGUGGCACCAUGUAUUUUAUUUCCAAUAAAAUAAAUUUGCUGUUGACGGUUA